rnacentral:sRNA from 1 species
UACGGAAACACCUUCACUCUCCAGGAAGCGUCGAGCAGCUUAUGUGGCGGCUACAUCUUCUAGAGAUGUUAACGAUACCGCCGCUGAUUCUUCUCAGAAACUCACCAAAUUCGUCACC